rnacentral:rRNA from 1 species
AGUGAACGCUGGCGGUAGGCCUAACACAUGCAAGUCGAACGGCAGCACAGUAAGAGCUUGCUCUUACGGGUGGCGAGUGGCGGACGGGUGAGGAAUACAUCGGAAUCUACUUUUUCGUGGGGGAUAACGUAGGGAAACUUACGCUAAUACCGCAUACGACCUACGGGUGAAAGCAGGGGAUCUUCGGACCUUGCGCGAUUGAAUGAGCCGAUGUCGGAUUAGCUAGUUGGCGGGGUAAAGGCCCACCAAGGCGACGAUCCGUAGCUGGUCUGAGAGGAUGAUCAGCCACACUGGAACUGAGACACGGUCCAGACUCCUACGGGAGGCAGCAGUGGGGAAUAUUGGACAAUGGGCGCAAGCCUGAUCCAGCCAUACCGCGUGGGUGAAGAAGGCCUUCGGGUUGUAAAGCCCUUUUGUUGGGAAAGAAAGGCAGCAGGUUAAUACCCCGCUGUUCUGACGGUACCAAAAGAAUAAGCACCGGCUAACUUCGUG